rnacentral:rRNA from 1 species
CCCGAAGUCGGUGAGGUAACCUUUUGGAGCCAGCCGCCUAAGGUGGGAUAGAUGAUUGGGGUGAAGUCGUAACAAGGUAGCCGUAUCGGAAGGUGCGGCUGGAUCACCUCCUUUCU